AAAUUGAAGAGUUUGAUCAUGGCUCAGAUUGAACGCUGGCGGCAGGCCUAACACAUGCAAGUCGAACGGUAACAGGAAGCAGCUUGCUGCUUYGCUGACGAGUGGCGGACGGGUGAGUAAUGUCUGGGAAACUGCCUGAUGGAGGGGGAUAACUACUGGAAACGGUGGCUAAUACCGCAUAACGUCGCAAGACCAAAGAGGGGGACCUUCGGGCCUCUUGCCAUCAGAUGUGCCCAGAUGGGAUUAGCUUGUUGGUGAGGUAACGGCUCACCAAGGCGACGAUCCCUAGCUGGUCUGAGAGGAUGACCAGCCACACUGGAACUGAGACACGGUCCAGACUCCUAA
rnacentral:rRNA from 1 species